rnacentral:rRNA from 1 species
ACCCUCAAGCGGGGGACAACAUCGGGAAACCGGUGCUAAUACCGCAUAAGCUCACGGACUGGGAUGUCUGUGAGAAAAGGAGCAAUUCACUUGAGGAUGGGCCUGCGGCCUAUCAGGUAGUUGGCGGGGUAACGGCCCACCAAGCCUAAGACGGGUAGCCGGACUGAGAGGUUGAACGGCCACACUGGAACUGAGACACGGUCCAGACUCCUACGGGAGGCAGCAGUGGGGAAUUUUGCGCAAUGGGGGAAACCCUGACGCAGCGACGCCGCGUGGAGGAUGAAGGUCUUCGGAUUGUAAACUCCUUUUGUCGGGGAAGAUAAUGACGGUACCCGGCGAAUAAGCCACGGCUAACUCUGUGCCAGCAGCCGCGGUAAGACAGAGGUGGCAAGCGUUGUUCGGAAUUACUGGGCUUAAAGGGCGCGUAGGCGGUGGAGUAAGUCUGAGGUGGAAGAUUAGGGCUUAACCCUAAAAUUGCCUUGGAAACUGCAUCACUUGAGUCAGCGAGGGGAUGGCGGAAUUCCAGGUGUAGCGGUGAAAUGCGUAGAUAUCUGGAGGAAGGCCGGUGGCGAAGGCGGCCAUCUGGCGCUGAACUGACGCUGAGGCGCGAAAGCGUGGGGAGCAAACAGGAUUAGAUACCCUGGUAGUCC